rnacentral:rRNA from 1 species
UACGUAGGGGGCAAGCGUUGUCCGGAAUCAUUGGGCGUAAAGCGCGUGUAGGCGGCUUGGUAAGUCCGCUCUGAAAGCCCGGGGCUCAACCCCGGGAGGCGGGUGGAUACUGUCAAGCUCGAGUCCGGAAGAGGCGAGUGGAAUUCCUGGUGUAGCGGUGAAAUGCGCAGAUAUCAGGAGGAACACCAAUGGCGAAGGCAGCUCGCUGGGACGUGACUGACGGUGAGACGCGAAAGCGUGGGGAGCAAACAGG